AUUUAGUUUCUUACUGGAUAUUUGGAUUUAGGAUACCACUAGCGACAUCUAUUGGCGUGAUAUUGAAUUAAUUUGCAAUAGAUGGCGCUUUUUGCUCAGUCAAUUCAAAUAUAUUUUAUUGAAACAUUUCCUAAUGUUUUUGUUUUGAUUAUUCUAUUUUUUAAUAGAAUAUUUUCAGUGUUCAGGAGAUUGUUUUCAUCAUGGUUUUUAUUAGUAUUUGCUUUUUACCUAAGCGGCGAAACGAAACGUCUUGCGAUGUCGAUGACUCGCAGGCUGUCAGUUGAGCUGUCAAAUCACUUUGGAAUUUUGGUCGAUCUUGCGCAACCGCAAUUUUAUUAUUUUCGGGGAUGUAAUCCCCUGUGUUUUAAAUCGUGUGUUGCAGAAUGCAUCCACGAUAAUUUCAUAAUAUAAUUUAAAAUAAUCACACAUGAGGUAAGUUCCCGUCGGAGAAUUUAUUUAUUUUUUCGUGAUUGAUAUUUUUCGUAUUCCAGUACGUGGUAUUUUAUGUGAUGGUUUCUUUCAGAAAUUCCCUAAAUUCUAUUCGGAUGAGGGUAUUGGGUUGCUGAGGGCUGCGAGCGAAGCUCAAAUUAGUGAACAGCCUUCAUGCGGGAUUUCAAAUUUUAUAUUUUAUAUUUCAUAUUUUACGAUUUUACAUUUCAUAUUUUAGAUAUUUCAAUAUUUCAUAUUGAUUUCUAUAAUUAUUACUCCUUUCUGAACUGCUGAUCUCUUCGCAUUUCCUCCUUGUCAUCAAACCUCUGUCUCUGCAAGAGUUUGAACGCUUUCCUGUCAAAGAGAUGCAAGAGCUUCAUCUGGCACUGCACGCUUGAGGCCGUGGAGGACGCUGCUUGUAACCUAAAAGUGUGCGAGACCCGUUGGACCCCGGAAGAAGAGAGGAACGUUCAGGGUAACGGCUUAUAACCGCAUGGCUUCCAAGGUACCCACUUUUCCAUCCUUCAAGUAGGAGUCUUUCCGACCUGACAUCGCGCAGUUAUCUUAACUAGUAGAGUCUUUUAAUAUUUAGGCUGAGUUUUAAGAAAUUUGUAGUGGCAAUAAUAUUCACCAAACCGAACCUAAUUAACGACCCUGAAUCCCUUGAGAUUGGCACUAUUACAGUAGUUAUUAUAAUAUCGUAAUUGUUAACUUUAUACGAGCAUACGAGAUAAAAAUAAAUUGUGUCAAUUGA